rnacentral:tRNA from 1 species
GCCGAAGUGGCGGAAUGGCAGACGCGACGGACUCAAAAUCCGUUGGGGUAACACCCGUGUGGGUUCAAGUCCCACCUUCGGUA